UACGGAGGGUGCAAGCGUUAUCCGGAUUCACUGGGUUUAAAGGGUGCGUAGGCGGACAGGUAAGUCAGUGGUGAAAUCUCCGAGCUUAACUCGGAAACUGCCUUUGAUACUCUCUGUCUUGAAUAUGGUGGAGGUAAGCGGAAUAUGUCAUGUAGCGGUGAAAUGCUUAGAGAUGACAUAGAACACCUAUUGCGAAGGCAGUUUACUACGCCUAUAUUGACGCUGAGGCACGAAAGCGUGGGGAUCAAACAGG
rnacentral:rRNA from 1 species